rnacentral:rRNA from 1 species
AACGAACGCUGGCGGCAUGCCUAACACAUGCAAGUCGAACGAAAACUUCGGGCCUUGUGGCGCACGGCGGCUUGACGCCUGGUAACCAGCCCUUAGGUUCGGAAUACCUCCCCGAAAGGGAUGCUAAGACCGGAUAAGCUAUUCGCAGCAAAGAUUUAUUGCCUCUGGGUGGGGCCUGGUUGGUUUCGCCGGUUGGUAGGGUAAAAGCCUAUCAACGCGACGUUGCAGAGCUGGUGGGAGAGGAUGACCAGCCGCACUGGGACUGAGACACGGCCCAGAAUCCUACGGAAGGGAGCAGAGGGGAAUAUUAGACGAUGGGGGCAAGUCUGAUCCAGCCAUGCCGGGGAAGUGAUGCAGGCCUUAGGGUUGUAAAGCUCUUUUACCCGAGAUGAUAAUGACAGUACCGGGAGAAUAAGCUCCGGCUAACUCCGUG